rnacentral:lncRNA from 1 species
GUGACCGUAACUUUAAGCACACGUGAGCGUCCUCAGCUGGCAGCCAUGGCUGGCGGGUCCUUCCUAGCAUGUGCUGCGGCCCUCACCUUAUCUUCCGUCAUCAGGGCACAGGCGCCGUGCAGGGCUAUUCCGAGUCCAGGUAGAGAUGGCUGAGCUCGGUGGCAGGAGAUCAGCCUGCGGUGGAGCAGGGACGUUUGCCCUGGGGAGACACGUGCCACCGGGUGGACAUCGAGGCCCUGUGGGUGGCCCUACAGCGUGGAAGGGAUGACCGAGCUUUGGGACAUGUCCUGACUUCUGGGGACUGGGAGACUGCAGUAUGGGUCGUGCAGGAUUGGAGUGAUAUACUUAGCAAGCCUCCAGCGUGCUUGGGUCUGCAGUGACCCUGUGCAUUCCUACAGUGCUUGCCAGAACAAUUUUGAAGUGGUUUGAGGCCUUGCCCUGCCCUCUCCAGAGCAAGGUUAUAGAAAUUUCAGACAAUAUGGCAGACACCUGCCACGUGGAUAAAUUACAAGCCGGAAACCUAAGGUGCUGGAGCUAGAAGAGACUUGAUAGCACUUCAGAGACCAUCAGGCUGUUUCGUGGAACUUCCACCAAAGAGAUGCAGAAAUGGAGACUCCAGAGCUGGAGAGAGAGAGAUGACUCAACUGUUAAAAGCACUGACUGCUCUUCCAGAGGUCCUGAGUUCAAUUCCCAGCAACCACAUGGUGGCUCACAAUUAUCUGUAAUGGGGAUCCGAUGCCCUCCUCUGGUGUGUCUGAAGACAGUGAUGGUGUACUGACAUAUAUGAAGUAAAUAAGUAAAUUAAUAAAUAGAAAUGAGACUCCA